rnacentral:rRNA from 1 species
AACAGGAUUAGAUACCCUGGUAGUCCAUGCCGUAAACGAUGAGUGCUAGGUGUUGGAGGGUUUCCGCCCUUCAGUGCCGGAGCUAACGCAUUAAGCACUCCGCCUGGGGAGUACGACCGCAAGGUUGAAACUCAAAGGAAUUGACGGGGGCCCGCACAAGCGGUGGAGCAUGUGGUUUAAUUCGAAGCUACGCGAAGAACCUUACCAGGUCUUGACAUCUUGCGCUAACCUAAGAGAUUAGGCGUUCCCUUCGGGGACGCAAUGACAGGUGGUGCAUGGUCGUCGUCAGCUCGUGUCGUGAGAUGUUGGGUUAAGUCCCGCAACGAGCGCAACCCUUGUUACUAGUUGCCAGCAUUCAGUUGGGCACUCUAGUGAGACUGCCGGUGACAAACCGGAGGAAGGUGGGGACGACGUCAGAUCAUCAUGCCCCUUAUGACCUGGGCUACACACGUGCCACAAUGGUCGGUACAACGAGUCGCUAACCCGCGAGGGCAAGCUAAUCUCUUAAAGCCGAUCUCAGUUCGGACUGUAGGCUGCAACUCGCCUACACGAAGUCGGAAUCGCUAGUAAUCGCGGAUCAGCAUGCCGCGGUGAAUACGUUCCCGGGCCUUGUACACACCGCCCGUCACACCAUGGAAGUUUGUAACGCCCAAAGUCGGUGGCCUAACCAUUUGGAGGGAGCCGCCUAAGGCGGGACAGAUGACUAGGGUGAAGUCGUAACAAGGUAACC